rnacentral:rRNA from 1 species
AUGGCGGCGUUGGUCACCGCCGUGCUGUGCCUGACGACGAGCCGCGCGCAGGGGCAGCUGCAGGUGGGUUUUUACAGCACCACCUGCCCCAACGCCGAGGCCAUCGUCCGGCAGGCCGUCACAGCGGCCUUCGCCAACGACCCCGGCGUUGCCGCCGAGCUCAUUCGGCUCCACUUCCACGACUGUUUCGUCGAGCGGCGGCCAGACGGAGCGCGAUGCACCGCCGAACAACCCCAGCCUCCAUGGCUUCCAGGUUGUCGAUGCGGCCAGAGCCGCCCUAGAACAGAGCUGCCCACGCACCGUGUCAUGUGCCGAUAUCCUAGCGUUCGCCGCCCGGGACAGUGUCAACCUCACCGGGUCCCCGCGGGCCGCCACGAUGGGAGCAUCUCGACUAACGGCAGCGCGUUUGGCCUCCCUAGUCCAAACUUGACCGCGGAUGGGCUCAUACAAAGUUUCAAAAACAAGAGUCUGACUGCUGAAGAGAUGGUGAUACCAUCCGGCGCCCACACAUUGGACCGCUCGCACUGUGACUCCUUCAUUUUCAAGAACCGCGAGAGGCUGAUGAGCGGCACCAUUAGCCCGACAUACCAAGCGUUGUUGGAGGCACUGUGCCCGACGAACGCGGUCCAGGUCACAAAUGUGACGACGAUGAUCGACCUCAGCACGCCAACGGUACUGGACAACAACUAUGAGUGCCUCGAGCGCAAUGCCAUGCUCAAGGCCUCCGUCGCCAACGAGACGCUCCGGAAGGAGAAGUUCAUUGCCGCCAUGAUUAAGAUGGGCAAGAUCGAGCCCAAGACCGGCACGCAGGGGGAGAUCCGCCUCAAUUGUAGCUUCAUCAGUCCGCCGUCAUCAUCGUUUGCCUCCGCAAGGGCGAUCGAGAUGCUUCACCCGAGCUCCAACAACAAUGCCCCCCGCUGGCGACGAGAUCAGCACGGGCUGAUGCAUAUUAUGUACCGUGUACAAGUAGUGAGUAUGUACACGCACUCACGUUCGUACCCUCAUACGUUAGAACGUGUGUAA